rnacentral:rRNA from 1 species
UACGAAGGGUGCUAGCGUUGUUCGGAAUUACUGGGCGUAAAGCGCGCGUAGGCGGCUAUUCAAGUCAGAGGUGAAAUCCUUGGGCUCAACCCAAGAAUUGCCUUUGAAACUGUGUAGCUAGAGUGUCGGAGGGGAUAGCGGAAUUCCUAAUGUAGAGGUGAAAUUCGUAGAUAUUAGGAGGAACACCGGUGGCGAAGGCGGCUAUCUGGACGACAACUGACGCUGAGGCGCGAAAGCACGGGGAUCAAACAGG